GAUUACUGACAAAUAAGAGACUUUAUAAAUUCAAGAAUUGACAUUUGGUUUCUGAGUUCUAGACCAUAAAUAUGGGUGUUACUAUUGAAGUUUAUCGCGCCAGGAUUGGUUCACAUCACAAUUUUACAGAUUGUCGCAACAGUCUGUGUCGUCUUAAAGACUUUCAAAUGAUGUGGAGGAAAAUCCAGGUCCUAGGACUAUAAAUGAUAUAGUUGACCCUGCUUGUACAAUCCAUGCUGAUUUUAAUCAAGGUAAUGAGCUAAUGUUUGGUGUGAAUGCUGGUAAACAGUGUGUAGCUAUGUCAUUAUAUGCAAUUGUUUACAAUGAAAUUAAAUCUGUCAAUAUUUGGGACAAGUCAAUUCUAAACUCAAUUUUAGUAAGUGGAAACAGUUUGUAUUGUGUUAUCAGCCAAAGUAUAAAUAAGAGUUAUUU
rnacentral:misc_RNA from 1 species